GGGCCAUAGCACAGUGGUAGAGCAUGUGCUUUGCAUUCAAGCAGUCCCAGGUUCAAUCCCUGGCAUCUCUA